AAGACUAUACUUUCAGGGAUCAUUUCUAUAGUUUGUUACUAGAGAAGUUUCUCUGAUCGUGCAGUGCAGCGUGAAUGCAGCUGCCAAUUGAUGAUCGUCACCAUCUGAGUGGU
ensembl:snoRNA U3 Small nucleolar RNA U3